CCUACGGGAGGCAGCAGUGAGGAAUAUUGGUCAAUGGACGAGAGUCUGAACCAGCCACGUAGCGUGAAGGAUGACUGCCCUAUGGGUUGUAAACUUCUUUUAUAUGGGAAUAAAACGUUCCACGUGUGGGAUUUUGUAUGUACCAUAUGAAUAAGGAUCGGCUAACUCCGUGCCAGCAGCCGCGGUAAUACGGAGGAUCCGAGCGUUAUCCGGAUUUAUUGGGGUUAAAGGGAGCGUAGGUGGAUUGUUAAGUCAGUUGUGAAAGUUUGCGGCUCAACCGUAAAAUUGCAGUUGAAACUGGCAGUCUUGAGUACAGUAGAGGUGGGCGGAAUUCGUGGUGUAGCGGUGAAAUGCUUAGAUAUCACGAAGAACUCCGAUUGCGAAGGCAGUUCACUGGACUGCAACUGACACUGAGGCUCGAAAGUGUGGGUAUCAAACAGGAUUAGAUACCCCAGUAGUC
rnacentral:rRNA from 1 species